rnacentral:ncRNA from 1 species
GAAUCUUACGGAGAUGGCAUUCUCCACCAACCGCCGGCUUGGCCCGGCUAAUGAUGCCUGCAGCCGU